rnacentral:rRNA from 1 species
UGCCUGCCCGGUGACAAUUGUGUUAAACGGCCGCGGUAUUUUUGACUGUGCGAAGGUAGCGUAAUCAUUUGCUCUUUAAUUGGGGGCUUGAAUGAAUGGCAAGACAGAAGCUAUGCUGUCUUUUCUUUAAUUUCUUGAAUUUGAUAUUGUUGUGAAGAAGCGACAAUACGGCCGUAGGACGAGAAGACCCUGUCGAGCUUUACUAAAAGCAAUUUUGUUUGAUUAUAUUUUGAGGGCUAAUUAUCUUUUUACUGGUAACAGUAGUGUGUAAGUUACUCUUGAGGUGGGCUAAUGGGAAAUUGUUUUAUUGUUUGGUUGGGGCAACCGCGGAGAAUAGUAAUCCUCCGCUUUUUGUGAAGGAAAAGUAACUGCUUUGUUGUAUAAUUAUCUAUUUGGCAGGAUCCACUGUUUAAGUGAUUAAAGGAAUAAGUUACCGCAGGGAUAACAGCGUUAUUCUUUUGGAGAGUCCAUAUUGAUAAGGGAGUUUGCGACC